UUACAGAGUUGAAAAACUCCCAAACCCUUGUGGUCUUUACCUAUACGUUGCCUCGGCGGCGCCCUCGCGGGCCCGCCGGGGGUACCAAACUUGAAUUUUUAGUGAAUCUCUGAGUACUAGAUGAAAAUCUAUAACAACUUUCAACAACGGAUCUCUUGGUUCUGGCAUCGAUGAAGAACGCAGCGAAAUGCGAUAAGUAGUGUGAAUUGCAGAAUUCCGUGAAUCAUCGAAUCUUUGAACGCACAUUGCGCCCGCCGGCAUUCCGGCGGGCAUGCCUGUUCGAGCGUCAUUUCGACCCUCAAGCCUCCCGGCUUGGUGUUGGGGCGCCCGCGUUACAGCGGGGCCCUCAAGUGCAUCGGCGGGCUCGCCGGACACUGAGCGCAGUAAUUUUUUCUUCGUUCGGCCUGUCCCGGUGGGUUCUUGCCGCUAAACACCCCAAUUUUUAAGGUUGACCUCGGAUCAGGUAGGAAUACCCGCUGAACUUAAGCAUAUCAAUAAGCGGAGGAAAAGAAACCAACAGGGAUUGCCCUAGUAACGGCGAGUGAAGCGGCAACAGCUCAAAUUUGAAAUCUGGCCCUCGGGUCCGAGUUGUAAUUUGCAGAGGAUGCUUCCGG
rnacentral:rRNA from 1 species